GAGAGACUUUUGUUUUGUUUUGUUUUUUGUUUCAGAUUUUGUCUUCCCCCACCGCCACCCCACUUUUUAGCUCUGUUUCUUUCUCUCUCGUCUCUGUGCGUCCGCAUGUCUCUCUUUGUAUGUCUCUGUAUCUCUGUGUGUCUCUACUUAUCUCUUUGUCUCUGUCUUUAAAUGUCUCUGUCUCAGUAUCUCUAAGGCUUUGUCUCUAUUUCUCUCCUCCUCUCUCUGAUGCUAUCUCUCUGUGUCUAUCACUGUCUCUCUCUGUCUCUCCCUUUCUGUCUCCCUCUCUAGCGCUCUGUUUCCUCUGUCUCUGCCUCUUUCUGGCCCAGUCCAGAGCCCUUGGCAUGAGGACACGGGGAAUUUACUCUCAGUUGGACCCACCUCCACCCUUACCCCCACCAGAGGGCUGUUCCUGGCAAAGCAGAGCAGCUUCACCAUCAGGCACAGGACAUGCCAGUUUCGAGAGACGUUUAGGAUUUAUGUGCAACCAAUGAAUAAGAUGGAGUGUCAGAGAGAGUGGGGCCUACCCACUGUCUCCUGGACGAGCUGGGACCAAACCCAGCCUACGCAGGAGGGGUCAUAACAUGAGGCCUGUAUCUGCUUUGUUCCCAUGGAAUCCGGUAAAGUGGAUCCCCAGUUCGACUCCAGCAGGCCCAUCUCUCACCUGUCUGCCACGUCCACACUGCCACCAGGGACAGAGCUAACAUCUGGCUCUGCUUCAUGAGGCCUCCAGCCCCAGAGCAGCUCAGGGACAGGAAGGAUGAACUCUGCCUGGCCUUGCUGAGCUAGUUCUCGGGGCUCCCACUGCAAGCUCUGUGGUUAACGCCUCUGCUGACAGCGGACAGGACAGACUUUCUCUGAAAGUCUGAGUUUCUCUGAAUCUCUGAGGUGCAGGAUUCUCAGAAACCCAGCGGCAGCCUUGCCACGCACCACCGCUGCGACACUGGCCACUCCCGGCAAUCUGAGGGGCAUUUUGUGUGUCCCCAGCACCUGUACAGCCUCACACUUUGAAGGUGUCCAAUCACAUCUGCUGGAGGAACAAGUGGCCCAAUGUUGCAUGGAUCCUCUGGGUCGGUGUCAUCUCUCUGGGUCGGUGUCAUCUGUCCCCUCUCACCAACAGGUACGCUGCUCAGAGCACAGAAGUUACUGGUGACAUACACAUGUCCUUAAAAGGCUAAGAAUGCUGGCUGUGGCAGAGGCAAACUACUAAAUGAAAUGGCGCGUCAGUAGCUCCUCCAGCAGGGCCUGAUUAGCCGUGGGUAAUGUUCACUUGUGAGAGGGGGCAACUCGGCAGGCCUGGGAGCAAGAACUCACACAGAGGGCCUGCCCUGGCCCUCGAAGAACCAUAGACGCCGGGGCAGCAGCCUCUCAGCACCACCCUCAUCUGUGAGGACUCUGGGCCCACCUAACAACCUGCACUCUCUUCCCACUCACCCCUGGCCUUGGUAGGGGGUGAGCCAGGGACAACCCUUCUGCCUGGAGAAGGGGCUCAGGAAGAAGGGUGUCUAGGGUGUCUUAGCUUGAAUUCCCCCAAGAAGCUGACCCUGAGAAAAGAUUCAAGAGCAACUGGAGCUUAACCCUGCAGGGAAGCCACCAGCACUCACAUCAGGGUGCCUCCACCCAGGAGCUAGGGGCCUGGGUUGUUAUGCACUGACUCCUCAGCCUUUGACUGAGAGCUGCUCCCAGGAGAUGUCAUUCCCUCACACUUGCUAGCAACUUUCUAGGGCCAGGAGCUCAGCCUCAGGUGGAGAGGUGCAGGGAGGGCAGGAGGAGGUUUCAGAAGCACUGAAGCAGUCACGCCCAAGGGACAUGGGUGAGACUCCUGGAGGCCAGAGGGGGAUGCCAGUGCAUGUGUGGCUGUCACUGGUCUGAGGAAGCUGGGGUCACCCUCACUAGCAAGAUCCAUUUGAGGAGUGUACCAGGCCCUCCAACCUUUUGAUGGUAGAACCUGUGGGGAGGGGCUGUGCCCCACAAGAGGAAAAGCUACUUGCUAGCUGGGUUGGGGACAGAGGCCCAGGCUAGAGAUGGGCCCAGGUGCAAAUUCUAAGCUGCCAUUGGCAUGAUGGCUCUGCCUAAGCUAUAGAGAUCCCCCUCCCCAUCCCUCCUAGUUUGUCACUUAAGACUAUACUCACCUUUCCCCCAACCUCACCUGUGGCCUUUUCACCAAUCCCACAUUGGAUUGGUGGAAGUGCAGCUACCAGGGCAAACCUGGCGCUGAUGGAUAGCAAGCCACUGGGGCUGCCCCCAAAAUGGUCUCUUGGACCAGUGGGCUGAGCAGGGCUGCCUCAGGGUGCGACCCGGGCCUCCCAGCAGCCUCUGAGGUCCUGGCUGUCAAUGGUCGGGGUAGGACUACAUGACCUCCAGGGGCUCUUCCAGAAUUAAGCAUCGUCUUUGAAACUGUCGGGCAUUUCAUGGUAUGUCAGGCUCUGUGCUAAGUCCUUUCAAUUGUUAUCCUCUUCAAUCCCCACCACACCCUAUGAACUAGGUGACUACUCUCUUCAGUUUGCAGAUAAGGAAACUGAGGCCCCAGAAGUUAAGAAACUAGCCCAAGUUAGAGAGGAAGGGAAUGUCAGAGUUGGGUGUGAGCCCUGGGCGAGGCCUAGGACCUGCCCAGUGGUGAUGUGAGGCUGGACCACAGUGCUGGGGCUGGACCAACCUCUGCGUCCGGGCUGGGACAUGGUUCCAUCGUCCACGCCCCACCUGGCUAUGCACUCCGAGGGACUCCUCUGGGCCGGGCCUGGUCAGCACCUUGUGCCCCAACGCGUGGCCUGGAAUAAGUCAAGCUAUAGUCUCAGUUUGACAUUAGUCUUUUAUUAUAACCAUAUUGAAUGGGGUCGCUUUGCCAAAAGGAGAAAUCAUUUCUUAAAUCAGUAUGAGUUAUAGCAUAAAGAUGGAUGAGAAAAAAGCGAUAGGGCAUACAUGGCGUCACUGAAUAUUCCAUCAAUCAAAUGAAUUGUGCCACUGUGAGAAAAACUACUAUGACAGCUUUUACAUCAAAGUGGUCUCAAGCCUGUUUAUACGAACUUUAUAUAUCUUUUUAACAGUAUAAAAAGAGAGCUUUAGUAAGUAACACUGAGAAAGCAGUCUGGCCUUUGAGAAGGAAGCCUGGCUUGCCAGGUGCCAUCCUCAAUGUAUCCGGCCUCUUCUCUCUGCUCCACAGCCUCCCCAGUGCCCCUCCUCCAGACACACAGGGCAGGGGCCAGGGGCCAGGUGUGUGUCCGCAGGAAAGGAGGGAUGGAAUUGGUUGGAGCCGCCACAGAACGGCCACUCUAUGUGGGGACCUAAGUCCUCCGUACACACUCCUGUUCUAUAAUGAACCCUUGGAGCAGUUCCUUAAAAAAAUAAAAUAAAAACAAAAAUAAUGUGCAUCAACUCUGACUCACAGGUUAUUCUUAGGAGGCCAGCAUGACUGCCACAGAGUUUGAUAUUUGUUCAGCAUCUCUGACAAAGUAGAGGAGGCAUUCCUGUUGAGAGCGGGCAACUAACCCCCAACUCCCUGAAGCAGCUUCCUUAGCAACCCCAGGGCUGACAGCACAAGAGUCAACUGGUCAUCUGCAGGCAAGGCAAAUCACAGGGAGGUCCUGGUUUAUUUUUAGAGUCACAUUCUUUCUGCAGUGAUAUUAUUUCUUUCCGGAUUGCAGUUACCUCUGAACAUUAGCAGGAGGUCAGCUUUGGAAGAGUAAUCCAGUGUAACUAAAUGUUUAAUGUGUUAUCUGACCCUGUGGCAUACACUCAAGGUAAGGCAAAGUAAUUAGACUUGCUAGUCUGUAACUCUCACACGUAAUGUACAAAGCUAAAUUUUAACUCAAAUUCCAAUCUGAUCAAAGAGGAAUGCAUGAAACACAUAGGGACACAUAUAAAAACAGGAGAUGAUGAUGAUGGGAAUUAAUCUAAGCUUCAUGUAUACAAAAUGUAUUUAACUGCUAAUAAUCAAAACGUAAGAAGGGUUCCACUGAUUACAUUUGUUAACAAAACACAAUAUAUUCAGGAUUUAAAAAAUGUACAAUUAAACAUAAGUAUCUGAUAAUAUAAUAAAAAGGAGCACAUAUUCUUUAAUAGCACUGUAACUAAUAAAAUUGCAAAUAAUACUCAACUAUGAAGAAUUUAAAAAAACACUUAAAAAACAUAAGGCAGUAAUACAAUUGUCUGAGUAUGAGCCUGUGGGAAUUUGAGGCUGGUACUACCCAUGACCCACUGUCCUUGUAUGUCUCUCUCCUCCAAG
rnacentral:lncRNA from 1 species